rnacentral:rRNA from 1 species
GACGAACGCUGGCGGCGUGCUUAACACAUGCAAGUCGAACGGAAAGGCCCUGCUUUUGUGGGGUGCUCGAGUGGCGAACGGGUGAGUAACACGUGAGUAACCUGCCCUUGACUUUGGGAUAACUUCAGGAAACUGGGGCUAAUACCGGAUAGGAGCUCCUGCUGCAUGGUGGGGGUUGGAAAGUUUCGGCGGUUGGGGAUGGACUCGCGGCUUAUCAGCUUGUUGGUGGGGUAGUGGCUUACCAAGGCUUUGACGGGUAGCCGGCCUGAGAGGGUGACCGGCCAAAUUGGGAAUGAGAUAAGGCCCAGAAUCCUAAGGGAAGGAGGAGGGGGGAAUAAUGCACAAUGGGCGGAAGCCUGAUGCAGCAACGCCGCGUGCGGGAUGACGGCCUUCGGGUUGUAAACCGCUUUCGCCUGUGACGAAGCGUGAGUGACGGUAAUGGGUAAAGAAGCACCGGCUAACUACGUG